UAAUUAAUUUAAUUACUUUUUUUUUUAUUUGGUUAUUUUUUAAUAAAAGAAUUUUUUUUUUAUUUGGUUUAAGUAUAUUUAAUAGAAAAAAUUUUAUUUGUUAUAGUUUAUUAGUAAAGUAUUUGGAUUUAUAUAAUUAUAAUAAAGUAGAUUUGUUAUUGUACCUUUUGUAUCAGGGUUGAUCAAAAUUAUUUUAUUUAUUUUAUUUAUCUCGAUUUUAACAGAUUUAAAUAUAAAUUAUUUUUAAUGUUUAAAUAUUAUUAUAAAUUUAUAUUUUGAAGUGAAAUGCUAGUCGUUUUUAAUUGUAUCUAGUUUCUUAAGAAAAAUUUUAAUUUUAUAGUCAUUUUAUUAUUUCAUUUUUUUAUUAUUAUUGAUGAUUAUUAAUUUAAUGGGGGAUAAGCUCUAUUAAUUGUUUAAAAAAUUGAUUUAUUAUAAAUUUUAUGUGUAGGCUUUGAACCAGCUAUCUGAGAUUUCGUUUCUGUUCAUAUUUUAUUUAUAUUGAUUUAUAUAUAUAUUUAAAUUUAAAAUUAAGAUUAUUUUUUAAAUAGUUAAGAAUAUAUAAUAAUGAUUUAAUUAGUAUAAUAUUUUUAUUAGUAUUUAUUUAAUAUUUAAUUUAUAGUAAGGAAUUAGGCAAAAAUUUCUCCGCCUGUUUAUCAAAAACAUGUCUUUUUGAUUUUUAUUUAAAGUCUGACCUGCUCACUGAUAUAAUAUUAAAUAGCCGCGGUAUUUUGACCGUGCAAAGGUAGCAUAAUCAUUAGUUUUUUAAUUGAAGACUAGAAUGAAUGGUUUAACGAGAGAAAAACUGUCUCAUUAUAAAAAUAUAAUUUAACUUUUAAGUUAAAAGGCUUAAAUAUAAUUUAAGGACGAGAAGACCCUAUAGAACUUAAAUAUAAUAAUAUAUUUAUUUUUAUGAUUAUUUUAUUAAAUAUAUUACAUUAUUUUAGUUGGGGUGACUGAUAAAAUAAAUAAACUUUAUCUUAUAGAAUUCACUUUUUGGUGUAAAGUUUUUGAUCCAUAAUUAAUGAUUAAAAGAUUAAGUUACCUUAGGGAUAACAGCGUAAUUACUUUUUAGAGUUCAUAUUGAUAGAGUAGAUUGCGACCUCGAUGUUGGAUUAAGAUAAAAUUAAGGUGCAGUAGCUUUAUAUUUAGGUCUGUUCGACCUUUAAAUUCUUACAUGAUCUGAGUUCAGACCGGCGUAAGCCAGGUCGGUUUCUAUCCUAAAUAUUAUAAUUUUAUAUUAGUACGAAAGGACCAUAUAGAUAAUUAAUUAUUUAUAUAAUGAUUAUAAUUAAU
rnacentral:rRNA from 1 species